GAUGAACGCUGGCGGCGUGCCUAAUACAUGCAAGUCGAGCGAACGGACGAGAAGCUUGCUUCUUUGAUGUUAGCGGAGGACGGGUGUGUAACACGUGGAUAACCCACCUAUAAGACUGGGAUAACUUCGGGAAACCGGAGCUAAUACCGGAUAAUAUUUUGCACCGUAUGGUUCAAAAGUGAAAGACGGUCUUGCUGUCACUUAUAGAUGGUUAUCGGCUGCAUUGUCUGGUUGGUAAGGUAAGGGGUUACCAAGGCGACGAUGCAUAACCGACGUGAGUGGGUGGUCGGCCGCACGGGAACGUAGCCAGAGUCCAGGCGCCUACGGGAGGCAGCAGUAGGGAACCUUCCGCAGAGGGCGAAAGCCUGACGGAGCGACGGCGCGUGAGUGAUGAAGGUCUUCGGAUCGUAAAACUCUGUUAUUAGGGAAGAACAUAUUUGUAAGUAACUGUGCACAUCUUGACGGUACCUAAUCAGAAAGCCACGGCUAACUACGUG
rnacentral:rRNA from 1 species